rnacentral:rRNA from 1 species
GAUGAACGCUGGCGGCGUGCCUAAUACAUGCAAGUCGAGCGAAUGGAUUAAGAGCUUGCUCUUAUGAAGUUAGCGGCGGACGGGUGAGUAACACGUGGGUAACCUGCCCAUAAGACUGGGAUAACUCCGGGAAACCGGGGCUAAUACCGGAUAACAUUUUGAACCGCAUGGUUCGAAAUUGAAAGGCGGCUUCGGCUGUCACUUAUGGAUGGACCCGCGUCGCAUUAGCUAGUUGGUGAGGUAACGGCUCACCAAGGCAACGAUGCGUAGCCGACCUGAGAGGGUGAUCGGCCACACUGGGACUGAGACACGGCCCAGACUCCUACGGGAGGCAGCAGUAGAGAAUCUUCCGCAAUGGACGAAGGUCUGACGGAGCAACGCCGCGUGAGUGAUGAAGGCUUUCGGGUCGUAAAACUCUGUUGUUAGGGAAGAACAAGUGCUAGUUGAAUAAGCUGACACCUUGACGGUACCUAACCAGAAAGCCACGGCUAACUACGUGCCAGCCGCCGCGGUAA